rnacentral:misc_RNA from 1 species
AAGUCGUAACAAGGUUUCCGUAGGUGAACCUGCGGAAGGAUCAUUACAAAUUUUGGCGAAAUUCCUCGCCAUUUUUUUUCGUAUUUAAAACAUCCCGCUCUUGUAAAAAAAAAUAUUUUUUAAUUGUAACAUUAAAAAAAAGAUCACUUUCAACAACGGAUCUCUUGGCUCUC